rnacentral:rRNA from 1 species
GACGAAGGGGGCUAGCGUUGUUCGGAAUUACUGGGCGUAAAGCGCGUGUAGGCGGUUGUCCAAGUUGGAUGUGAAAGCCCCGGGCUUAACUCGGGAAGUGCAUUCAAAACUGCAAAACUUGAGUAUGGAAGAGGGUCGUGGAAUUCCUGGUGUAGUGGUGAAAUACGUAGAUAUCAGGAGGAACACCGGUGGCGAAGGCGGCGACCUGGUCCUAUACUGACACUCAUACACGAAAGCGUGGGGAUCAAACAGG